GGAGAGAUGUCCGAGCGGCUGAAGGAGCACGACUGGAAAUCGUGUAGGCGGUCAAAAGCUGCCUCGGGGGUUCAAAUCCCCCUCUCUCCGCCA
rnacentral:tRNA from 1 species